UAUUGGACAAUGGGCGCAAGCCUGAUCCAGCCAUGCCGCGUGAGUGAUGAAGGCCUUCGGGUUGUAAAGCUCUUUUGGCGGGGACGAUGAUGACGGUACCCGCAGAAUAAGCCCCGGCUAACUUCGUGCCAGCAGCCGCGGUAAGACGAAGGGGGCUAGCGUUGUUCGGAAUUACUGGGCGUAAAGCGUGCGCAGGCGGUUUCGUAAGCUGGAGGUGAAAUCCCCGGGCUUAACCUGGGAAUGGCCUUCAGGACUGCGAGGCUAGAGUGCGGCAGAGGGAGGUGGAAUUCCACGUGUAGCAGUGAAAUGCGUAGAGAUGUGGAGGAACACCGAUGGCGAAGGCAGCCUCCUGGGCCAGCACUGACGCUCAUGCACGAAA
rnacentral:rRNA from 1 species